rnacentral:rRNA from 1 species
UACGGAGGGGGCUAGCGUUGUUCGGAAUUACUGGGCGUAAAGCGUGCGCAGGCGGUUGUGCAAGACCGAUGUGAAAUCCCCGGGCUUAACCUGGGAAUGGCAUUGGUGACUGCACGGCUAGAGUGUGUCAGAGGGGGGUAGAAUUCCACGUGUAGCAGUGAAAUGCGUAGAGAUGUGGAGGAAUACCGAUGGCGAAGGCAGCCCCCUGGGAUAACACUGACGCUCAUGCACGAAAGCGUGGGGAGCAAACAGG